rnacentral:rRNA from 1 species
UACGUAUGGUGCAAGCGUUAUCCGGAUUUACUGGGUGUAAAGGGAGCGUAGACGGAGUGGCAAGUCUGAUGUGAAAACCCGGGGCUCAACCCCGGGACUGCAUUGGAAACUGUCAAUCUAGAGUACCGGAGAGGUAAGCGGAAUUCCUAGUGUAGCGGUGAAAUGCGUAGAUAUUAGGAGGAACACCAGUGGCGAAGGCGGCUUACUGGACGGUAACUGACGUUGUGGCUCGAAAGCGUGGGGAGCAAACAGG